GGUUUGGGUUUCAAAGAUUUUGAGCUCUUUAAUCUGGCUAUGCUGGCUAGACAAGCGUGGCGUUUGCUUCAAAACCCAGACUCACUGAGUGCUCGCAUCCUCAGGAGCGUUUACUAUCCACGUUCAACAAUUCUUGAAGCCAGCCUCGGGUCCCACCCGAGUCAGAUUUGGCGAGCCAUAGUAGAAGGGAGAGAUAUUUUUCAGCAAGGGCUAAUAAAGAGAAUUGGGAACGGACAACAUACAAGUAUUUGGACUGAAAACUGGUUACCUAGGGACGAGAUGCUCUGA
rnacentral:rRNA from 1 species